rnacentral:rRNA from 1 species
AUGACCACCAAGAUGAAGGUUUGUUCUGCUCACCAUUUUUUGUUUUCAGGCUCUUCUUUUGUUCAGUGUUACUGUGGAGAAUUCUGGUGCAUUUCUGUUCAACAAUUGGAGGCUUCGGUGGUAGAGGAUGGAUUAACUCCCUUGCUCAAUGCUAUUGUUUAUGCCCUUGACAAUCCAUUUGGUUCUUUGUCUACAACAUUUGAGGCUAUUCAGAUGGGUGUGCCCAUCCAGUCGAUGGCAUUGUAUGUGAUAGUGCAGUCGCUGAUGUACAAGAGGCGUCCGUGGUGUCAGUUCUCCAUCGUCCAUGCUUAUCUUCUAUAUGCUCUAGCAGCCAGAGCUGUAGGAACAAGAGAAGAGAGACACAAAUCCCUUAUUGUGAUUCAUGACACCUAA